rnacentral:rRNA from 1 species
AUUGAACGCUGGCGGCAGGCCUAACACAUGCAAGUCGAGCGAGCGGCGGACGGGUGAGUGAUGCCUGGAAAUUGCCAAGUCGAGGGGGAAAAAAGUUAAAAACGACUGCUAAUACCGCAUAGGAAUGGAUUGCGCAGGGGGGAUUAGCUAGUUGGUGAGGUAAUGGCUCACCAAGGCGACGAUCCCGAGCUGGGCUGAGAGGAUGAUCAGCCACACUGGGACUGCGACACGGUCCAGACUCCUACGAGAGGCAGCAGUGGGGAAUAUUGCACAAUGGGGGAAAACCUGAUGCAGCCAUGCCGCGUGUGUGAAGAAGGCCUUCGGGUUGUAAAGCACUUUCAGCGAGGAGGCGUCACUCGCAGAGGAAGCACCGGCUAACUCCGUGCCAGCAGCCGCGGUAAUUC